AGGUUUGCGCAGUGGCAGUAUCGUAGCCAAUGAGGUUUAUCCAAGGCACAAUUAUUGCUAAUAAUAAUAAAAAAAUGCCAACAAUGCUGUCCAGCUGGAUUCCCAACAGGUAACGUAAUUUCUAAGUGGUGUGAGGCUGACCU
rnacentral:snRNA from 1 species